rnacentral:lncRNA from 1 species
GGCAAGGAGAGUUCCAUAUCUAGCUAAGGUGGCACCUAAAAGAUCAUUGACCCCACCUUCAUCGACAAACUAAGGAACAAUGGCAUGGGCUCACGAUAAGCAAUAGUCCAAAAAGACCCAAAUGAAGGAGAUCCAUCCUCCAGAACAUCACAAUCCCUUUGUGGUUCCAUCUAAGUUUGAUCUUUUGAGGGACAAAGGUAGUCAAGA